GAAACCAAAGUUCCGAGUAAAAAAAGAGAAAAGACUGGAAAGAAAUAGAAAUGGCGUUGGUUCGCAAAGGUUUAGUAUCCGUGGCUAAAAGAGGUUUAAGCCCUCAAAUUACGCUAAUCCCUUUCAAAUCUCAACGUUUGUUCUGCAACGAGCCAUCGUCUUCCAAUCCUCUUCUCAAGAAACUGCUUCAGGUGCCCAGCUCAUUAAUCAAGACUACGCUUGAUUCUGAUGAUCGUUUCGCCCUACGAAAUUCGGCAUUUCCCUGGGAUGCCCUUGUCGCCGGUCUCCCAUCUUUGUCAUCUGAGAAGGCUCAGCUGGUUUUGGAAUGGAAAUUAGAGAAAAUGUUGAAGGAAAAUGAGAGAGAUUAUGAUCAAUACUUGAAUUUGAUGUCUCUCUGUGCAAAGACUCGAAAUGUUCCACUUGCAAUGCAUGUGUUCACUUCAAUGGAGGCUCAUGGGAUUAAACCAACGGCUUCUGUUUUCAAUUCCCUUCUACAUGCUUGCUUGUGUUUGAAUGAUGCGAUAACAGCAUUCAGCUUAUUUGAGAUAAUGGAGAGGUCAGAGGGCUAUAAACCAGAUUCUGAGACUUAUGAGACUUUCAUAAUUGGCUUUUCAAGUUUGGGAAAUGCUGUUGCCAUGAAAAGUUGGUAUUCAGCAAAAAAAGCUGCAGGUUAUUGUGCUACUUUACAAACAUAUGAAUCUCUCAUUUCUGGUUGUAUCAAAUCUGGCGACUUUGAUGGUGCCGAAAAAUUCUAUGAAGAAAUAAGGUCGAUAGGAAUAAUGCCUAAUGAGCACAUAUUGGAGAAUUUGCUGGAAGGGUUUUGUAGACAGAGAAGGUUUAGGCAAGCUAAAGAGUUAUUGAAAUCGUUUCUGGAUGUUGGGCGGGAAAUUAGUGUGAAGAUGGCUAAGAAGAUUGUGUGUUUGUAUUCUGAAUACGGGAAGGUAGAAGAAAUGGAGGAACUACUUUCAACUGUAGUGGAGUCAGGUCAAGUUGUUGAAGUUAUGUUGCAGGUGCACUCUGGAAUUAUAAGGAUGUAUGCCACGUUAAAUAGAUUGGAUGAUGCAGAAUACUCAGUGGGCAGGAUGUUGAAACAAGGGUUGGCAUUUAGAUGCGCUAAUGAUGUUGAGAAGGUCAUCUGCUGUUACUUCAGGAAAGAAGCUUAUGAUAGGCUAGAUAUAUUUUUGGAACAUAUUAAGGGUUCUCAUAAGCUUUCAAAAUCAACUUAUGAUUUGCUGAUUGCUGGAUAUCGAAGAGCUGGGCUUUCUCAGAGAUUAGAUUCGGUGAUAAAGGACAUGGAAUUGUCUGGGGUUUUAUAGCAUCUUAGUUGGAAAGACAGGUUCUUUUGCAAACAGAGUGAAGCCAACAGUCUGCCUUUGGCUUUGACUGUGGCAUUUUUGCUCAUUUAAGUAGUGAUUAAGGAUAUGCUUCCUGCACAAUAAUGCCGCAAGUUGCUAGCAGGUUUUCUGGAACCAAUCAAAUAAAACUGAGCUGAUGUUUUCUGGAUUGGGACUAUUAUAUGGUGGCUGCUCAAUUAAUUGCUUGCACCAUACAUGCAAUAGAGCAUUGUUUGAAGUUAAAUUAAGUCAAAACAGUAAUGGGCUUAAUAGAGAUUAGUGAGUGUGUGAUUUGCCAAAGGCAGAGGAAAAUAUGUUAGAAAAUUGGAGACAUUUUCUCUUUGGUUGACAUCAAACUUUAGGUGCUCAUACUGAAAUUCUUUGGGGAGAUGAUCAUCCUUUGCUUGAACCAAAUCUAUGCUUUAGAAUAAUAUAUCAUCAUUGCAUUGGACAUGUUUCCGUGCAUGAGGUUGGAUGCAUCUGUUUUUAAAGGAUGGCCUAUACUGACCUUGGAGAUGAAGUUGGGCAGUAUAAGAUAAUUACUAGGAGUUAAUUGACGAAAGAAUUUCAAGAUGCCAGGGUAAGCUACGCUGCUCCGGAUCCCUCUGCCUCUGCCUCAGCCUCAGCCUCAGCCAAAGUUUUUGAGCCAGGAGAUUACAAAAAAUGUGCCUAUUGUGCGGCUUUUUUAAGAAAACUAGUCUUGAUGGAUAAUAAUAGAAUGAUGAUUGAUGCUGUGUCGUUAUAAUUGUUCAGAAAGGGAUUCUGCUGCUGAGGAAUGGCUGCUCGGGAUGAUGAAUGUGUAUGGUGGUGCGAAGGAUGGUGCUGCCGGUGUCAUGGAUCCGAGGUUCUGUAAAUGAAGGUAUGCCUUUUAUGAUGAUUUAUGGUCGGUUGAUGGCUUUAACAAUAGGUGACCUUCACCCACACUAGUAGACAAGCCAACCAUAUAGCUGAGGGGCUUGCCAAAGUUGGGGUCAUCAGGCACGGGUAUUUCUCAUCUCUCUUUUAAUGCUUGUCAAUUUUUCUAUGUUUUUGGAUCAUCUUGCGGAUGCUUUUUCGCCCUUUCCAAUCACUGGUUCAUGGAUCCUUUCUGGCUGGCUUUAGGUUUUGCUAGGGAAAUUAUGAUUUCUCAUUCUAUGUUUUUGGCUUCUUCUGUUGUCAUUGAUUGUUGGAUGUCGGUAUUGUAUUGGUUGUCCGUCCCCUGGCCAGUGUUUUACUAUGAUAUUUGUUUGCGUUGAAAGUGCAGAAUACUGCAGCCCAAGUGUUCCUAACGAUCG